UUAUUUGAGAAUUUGAUCCUGGUUCAGGAUGAACGCUGGCGGCGUGGAUUAGGCAUGCAAGUCGAGCGGGCUUGCCUCCGCAAGGAGGCGAGUCAGCGGCGAACGAGUUAGUAACACGUAGGAACUUGCCUCAAAGACGGGUAUAACCCCGCGAAAGCGGGGCUAAUUCCCGAUAGUCUCCGACCCUCGCAAGAGGCGUCGGAGUAAAGGUGCGCAAGCGCCACUUUGAGAGAGGCCUGCGGGCUAUCAGCUAGUUGGUGAGGUAAUGGCUCACCAAGGCGAUGACGGCUAGGGGGCGUGAGAGCGCGUUCCCCAACGCAAGGGACUGAGACACGGCCCUGACUCCUACGGGAGGCAGCAGUCUAGAAGAUUUCGCAAUGGGGGAAACCCUGACGAAGCGACGCCGCGUGCAGGAAGAAGGCCCUCGGGUUGUAAACUGCUUUUGACAGGGAAGAAGUCCCGCUCAGCGGGACUGACGGUACCUGUAGAAUAAGGCGCUGCUAACUUCGUGCCAGCAGCAGCGGUAAUACGAAGGCGCCAAGCGUUAUCCGGAUUUAUUGGGCGUAAAGAGUUCAAAGGGG
rnacentral:ncRNA from 1 species